UAUUGGUGGUGAGGACAUUGAGAAAGUAGUAACUUAAAGCACUCCUAUGCUUCAUGUAUUAGCUUUCCAUCCAUUUAUGAAAAUGUCCAAAUCUUGUUCCUUAAAUC